rnacentral:rRNA from 1 species
UGCGUAGGCGGGUUUCUAAGUCAGAGGUGAAAGCCUGGAGCUCAACUCCAGAACUGCCUUUGAUACUGGAAGUCUUGAGUUCGGGAGAGGUGAGUGGAACUGCGAGUGUAGAGGUGAAAUUCGUAGAUAUUCGCAAGAACACCAGUGGCGAAGGCGGCUCACUGGCCCGAUACUGACGCUGAGGCACGAAAAGCGUGGGGAGCAAACA